rnacentral:snRNA from 1 species
CACAACAUCAAUUGUUCAAGA